GUGCCAGCAGCCGCGGUAAUACGUAGGACCCAAGCGUUAUCCGGAAUUACUGGGCGUAAAGAGUUGCGUAGGUGGCAAAGUAAGCGAAGUAUGAAAUCUUGUGGCUCAACCAUAAGCCUAUACUUUGAACUACUUAGCUAGAGCAUGAGAGAGGUAACUGGAAUUUCUAGUGUAGGAGUGAAAUCCGUAGAUAUUAGAAGGAACACCGAUGGCGUAGGCAGGUUACUGGCUCAUUGCUGACACUAAGGCACGAAAGCGUGGGGAGCGAACGGGAUUAGAUACCCGGGUAGUCC
rnacentral:rRNA from 1 species